CUUCUGUUGUCUCAGAUGAAUGGCUGUGAGUUUCACCUGCCGUUACACCUUUGGGAAGUCAGACUGAAUUCUGUUUAUAGAGAGGAGUUCCCUCAUGCACAGAGCAAUGAAUGGGUAGCUGUGGACCAUUUCACGUCAACAGGGAACUGAAUUCUUUUAGCCAUUGAUUUGCCCAAGGAUGAAACCAGCAGGACUCAUUCCUUACAAAACAAUGUUUAGAGUCCUUUCGUGGUGCUGGAAUGCUUCUGCCAGUC